ACCUGAUAAGAGCCUGUCUCCUACCUGCCACUUGUGGAGUGCUCUCAGGUCAGUGGAGUAGUGAACAAUUCCCUGUGCUGUCUUUGCUCUGGGCAGCUUCAGAUACAGCUGAGGCAACUGAGGGCCCAGGAGGUAAGUGAAAACACAGCUUGGAAAUAAAAGAAUAAAAACCCCUUUUUAUUUUCCAACAGUAAAUAUUUGUUAACAAUUUCCAAUCAGAGUACAUUUUAUUCUGGCUGGAAUAAUGAAAAGGUUGCUUUGGGAACUGACAAGCCUUUGAAAUAAAUAGCUCAACAGUGACAUAUGCCUAUCAUUCUGUCACUAGAGAGGAUGAAGCAGGAGGAUUGUGAGUUCAAAGCUGGUAUGAGUAACUUAGAUUCCAUCUCAUAAAUCAAAUGUUGAAAAUGAAUUGAGAAAUAGUCUUUUGGGUACCUAUUUUUUUUGUUUUUGAAAACUAGUUUAAAACAUGCAUGGAUCUUUCAGUUAUGAUUAAGUUGACAAGAAAGCUAUAUAUUCUGUUCUGAGAGGAAAAAGUUCAUUUUGGAUGAAAUUUUACUUUUCAACCAGCAAAUGCUUCUUUGGAAGGAGGAAGAGCCAGUGAUGUCUUGUGACCGAACCUUUGUAAUCUGGAAUGUCAAGACCUAGUCCCAACGAAUCCAAAAGCACUCCGCCCGCAAAGACCUUUGGGGCUUCUGAUAGAGAGUCCAGAUACAAGGCCUGCGCUCCUGAGUGGCUCUCUUCAUUAGCAGGUGCCAUUCUGCCAGUGCUCCAAGUGUGCAAGCUGGUUGGAGUUUCAAUGUUGAGGAUCACUCUUGAAGUGUUGACGAGAUUGACAAAGGUAAGGUAAGUGACAGGCUGGCACGAGGAGCAGGUAUGCUCUGGGGAUGUUUAACUGAGGUUACUCGAGGCUUACACCGGGUGCAUUUUGCUGUAGUUAUAGUUAUCCAUUCCUUCAGGAGGCUACCAAAUGGCUUUAUCCAUAUUGGGCUAGACCCAGAGUCGAAACUGGGACAACCGGUAUUCCUGGUAACCUCCUGUCAGAUUCUGUGGAGAAGGCAGGAGGCAGGUUGAGAGCACAGAGGGAAAGCACCGUGAAGGGUGCUGUCUCCUGGUGGCGCCUGCAGGACAGAUGGCAGCCCCCGGGUCUGGGCUGGGAGCCCUGAGUUCACUGACUGGCUUGCUGGAG
rnacentral:lncRNA from 1 species